GACGAGCCACACAAACGUUAUUCGGAUUUACUGGGCUUAAAGGGUGCGUAGGCGGCGCGGAAAGUUGGGUGUGAAAUCCCUCGGCUCAACCGAGGAACAGCGCCCAAAACUACCGUGCUCGAGGGAGAUAGGGGUGAGCGGAACUUAGGGUGGAGCGGUGAAAUGCGUUGAUAUCCUAAGGAACACCGGUGGCGAAAGCGGCUCACUGGAUCUCUUCUGACGCUGAUGCACGAAAGCUAGGGUAGCGAACGGG
rnacentral:rRNA from 1 species